rnacentral:rRNA from 1 species
AGAGUUUGAUCCUGGCUCAGAGUGAACGUUGGUGGAUUAGGCAUGCAAGUCGAGCGAGAACCGUAGCAAUACGGGGACAGCGGCGAAAGGGACAGUAAUGUGUAGGUACCUACCCCCGGGUUCGGGAUAGCUGCGGGAAACUGCAGGUAAUACCGAAUAAUGUCUCCGGACCAAAGGUGUGAUUCCACCUGGGGAGGGGCCUGCAUCCUAUUAGCUUGUUGGUGGGGUAACGGCCUACCAAGGCGACGAUGGGUAGCGGGUGUGAGAGCAUGACCCGCGUCAUUGGGACUGAGACACUGCCCAGACACCUACGGGUGGCUGCAGUCGAGAAUCUUCGGCAAUGGGCGCAAGCCUGACCGAGCGACGCCGCGUGCGGGAUGAAGGCCUUCGGGUUGUAAACCGCUGUCGUAGAGGAGGAAAUGCAGGAGGGUUCUCCCUUCUGUUUGACCUAUUCUAGGAGGAAGUACGGGCUAAGUUCGUGCCAGCAGCCGCGGUAAGACGAACCGUACAAACGUUACUCGGAAUUACUGGGCUUAAAGGGUGCGUAGGCUGCGCGGAAAGUUGGGUGUGAAAGCCCUCGGCUCAACCGAGGAAUUGCACUCAAAACUACCGUGCUUGAGGGAGACAGAGGUAAGCGGAACUCAAGGUGGAGCGGUGAAAUGCGUUGAUAUCUUGAGGAACACCGGUGGCGAAAGCGGCUUACUGGGUCUUUUCUGACGCUGAGGCACGAAAGCUAAAGUAGCAAACGGGAUUAGAUACCCCGGUAGUCUUAGCUGUAAACGAUGAGCACUUGUUGGAGGGUCCUCCAUAGCCUUCCAGUCGUAGCGAAAGUGUUAAGUGCUCCGCCUGGGAGUAUGGUCGCAGGCUGAAACUCAAAGGAAUUGACGGGGGGCUCACACAGCGUGAGAUGUGCUAUCGAGCUACGCGAG